ACUGUUUAUUUCUUCUAUUUUCAACAAUGGUGGGUGACAGCCUUGGACAAGAUACAAUUACUUCCACUUCUAAAGAAGAGCAUGUUUUGGAUGGCAGCCGAGUUACUCUGUCAUGCAACUACUCAGCUGUUAGUGUACAAAGUCUACACUGGUAUCGCCAGCACCCUGGAUCCAAACCAGAAUUCCUCAUCCUCAUCUAUUCUGAACCAAAGACAGACAAGCGAUUCACUGUUAAACAUGAUAAAAAGAACAAAACAGUAGUUCUGGAGAUCUCCUCUGCUGAAGUGACAGACUCUGCUCUGUACUACUGUGCCCUGCAGCCCACAGUGACAGGAAACCCAUAAACUCUGUACAAAAACCUCACACUGCCUGAGACAAGGCAGCAACACAAGUACAAUUUUGAGACUUCAUCAUUGUAUGUCAAUUGUAGGUCAAUUAAUUUUAU